rnacentral:rRNA from 1 species
UGGGGAAUUUUGGACAAUGGGGGAAACCCUGAUCCAGCCAUGCCGCGUGAGUGAAGAAGGCCUUCGGGUUGUAAAGCUCUUUCAGACGGAAAGAAACGGUCACGAAUAAUACUCGUGGCUAAUGACGGUACCGUCAGAAGAAGCACCGGCUAACUACGUGCCAGCAGCCGCGGUAAUACGUAGGGUGCGAGCGUUAAUCGGAAUUACUGGGCGUAAAGCGUGCGCAGGCGGUUUUGUAAGACAGAUGUGAAAUCCCCGGGCUUAACCUGGGAACUGCGUUUGUGACUGCAAGGCUAGAGUACGGCAGAGGGGGGUAGAAUUCCACGUGUAGCAGUGAAAUGCGUAGAUAUGUGGAGGAAUACCGAUGGCGAAGGCAGCCCCCUGGGUCGAUACUGACGCUCAUGCACGAAAGCGCGGGGAGCAAACAGGAUUAGAUACCCUGGUAGUCCACGCCCUAAACGAUGUCAACUAGGUGUUGGGGAAGGAGACUUCUUUAGUACCGCAGCUAACGCGAUAAGUUGACCGCCUGGGGAGUACGGUCGCAAGAUUA